rnacentral:misc_RNA from 1 species
UUUCCGUAGGUGAACCUGCGGAAGGAUCAUUAUUGAAUGAACUUGGUAUGAUUGUUGCUGGCCCAUCUGGGCAUGUGCACGUCUGCUAUCUUUAUCUUUCCACCUGUGCACAUAUUGUAGGUCUGGAAUAAAUUUCUGAGGCAACUCAGUAGUGGGGAAUGCUGCUGCGAAGUGGCUUUGCCUGUAAUUUCAGAUCUAUGUUUUCAUAUACACCAUAAAAAUGUAACAGAAUGUCUUAAUGGGUCUUGUACCUAUAAACUAUAUACAACUUUCAGCAAUGGAUCUCUUGGCUCUC